GACUCCAGAUGCCUUGAUUCUGUGAAGCAUCAUGGAUACUCAUUCAAACAACCUGAGUUCUGAUCCUGUUUCCUUUAAUAAUUUCUCUCCUCCGUGGGAUUGUCUUCUUACUUUCUUCUGCUGAUAAAUUGGUGAAGGUUUUGAAGAUAACACACAGGGGUGAAUUGCACUGUGAACAGUGUGGAAGCAAUGAAGAAUUCUUAGAAGCCUUACAGAUGUUUGGUGUUCAACUUCCAGAAGCCCCAGGAAAUAUGGCCACUGAUGUAAUGGCAGAGAGAGAGAGAGAGAGAGAGAGAGAGAGAGAGAGCAUGCAUCCUGCAAAGUUAUUGACAAGUUAAUGCGUUCUCGACAAAAAAUAUAUAUUGCAAAGUUUGUAAAGGUUACUUGCGUGGUCUACAAUACUCAGAAUCCCCAGCCAGCAUUCUGUUAUUUGUAAAUUGUUCCAUUUUCCUGAGAACCUCUUCUGGUUUUGUUUGUUUUGUUGACUAAUAAAUAUGUUCGAAC